rnacentral:rRNA from 1 species
UACGUAGGGGGCUAGCGUUGUCCGGAAUCAUUGGGCCUAAAGCAUCCGUAGCCGGUUUUACAAGUCCUCCGUUAAAUCCAGCUGCUUAACAGAUGGGCUGCGGAGGAUACUAUAAGACUAGGAGGCAGGAGAGGCAAGCGGUACUCAGUGGGUAGGGGUAAAAUCCGUUGAUCCAUUGAAGACCACCAGUGGCGAAGGCGGCUUGCCAGAAUGCGCUCGACGGUGAGGGAUGAAAGCUGGGGGAGCAAACCGG